rnacentral:lncRNA from 1 species
CCUGCACCCUUAUUGCCAAAACUGCAGGUAUCCUUUGAGCUCUAUGAAUUACUUCAUUUAUAUAAUUUUACAAAAUUAUCUAGGUUAUAAAUUACUAAGAAUCAUUUUCAUUGAUAGCAAUCAAAUAUCACUAAUUUAUCAUUGUCAGAAAUGUGUUGGGGGAAAUAACAAUAAAAAAUAAAUUAAAAAAACUUUAAACAAAGUGAAAAAAACAUCUAUCUUGCUUUUAUCAAGGCAUCAAACAGUUUCUGUUUUCAAAGAGCAUUUCUUUUGUAAUAAGUACACGUGAAUUUUCACAUGAAGACUGGGUGGAUCAUUGACAAAGGCUCAAAGAGGUUUUGAGUUUGAAAAACAGUUUGAUGAAGUAGUUAUGAGAGAGCAGAUUCUCCAGGUAUGUUGUUGAAGGUAAAAUCUUGGCUCCACUGUUAGGCUCCACCUAUUUAGUGUAUACUGUUUUAGAAUUGAAUUUUUAAUUUUUUUAAGUAGUCUGUGAUUUGCUUAUAAAAUUAAAGAACAGGGUAUUAAAGAUCAGGAAAAUUAUUUCUUUGUUUCUUCUAUUUCUAUCCCCCGAUCUUUUAUCCUUAGAUUAUAAGAAAUGAUGUUUCACUGAGAGAAGACUGAAUUGAGAAUAAACAUAUUUUUGGAGUUCAUGGAAAAAAAAAUAUAUAUAAAACAUUUGAAUGUGACCUCUCAAAAUCUUACUCUACAAGUUAAAUGUACAGUAGGACACAUUUUACUGUACAAAUACUAUAAAGAUACUUUAUCCAUUUUAAUUAAGUACUUGAGGUACAACACAGAAUUAGCAUGAAUUUACUGUUCCUUCCUCAUAAUUUCAGUGAUAGAAUAUUUGUUCUUAAAUAUAGUUCUUACCAACCUCAGCAUAACAUAUUUUUUUCCUAAUAAGAAUUUUCACCUUUUCACACAAAAGAAGCACUUUAUGGCUUCUCUUUUUGGCAUAUCUCAUUUGUCAGUAUCACCACUCUUGCACUUUGGAGCCAUUACUAAGUAAAAUAAGGAUUACUGAAAGCAAGCACUGUGAUGCUGUGACAUUCAUCUGAUAGUGGAGACUCAGAACUAAAAGUGGGAUUCUUUGGACAAAGGGAUGAUUUACAUCCCCAGGUGGGAUGGAUUGGGAUAGCACAAGAUUUCAUCAAGUUAUUCAGAAUAGUAUAAAAUUUAAAACAUAAAUUUUUUUGUUGCUGCAUCUACAGCAUACAGAAGUUCCUAGGCCAGAGAUCAAAUCCAACCUGCAGCUACAGUAAUGUUGAGUCCCUUAAUCCACUGCUCCAGGCUGGGGAUAGAACCCACACCUCCAUAGUGGUCAGAGCUGCUGCAGCCAAGUUCUUAACCCACUGCACCACAGUGGGAACUCCAUAAAAUAUGUGGAUUAUUUACUUCUGGAAUCUUCCAUGUAAUAUUUUCUGAAACUGCAAGAAUCAAAACUACAGAGACUAUUAAGUUUAAAGUUUUAACCAUUUAGUAUCUUCUCAGACAUGUAAACAGCUUCGACUUUGCCUUCAAUUUUCCUUUUCUUGAGGAUAAACACAGCAGUUUCAUAUAUGUCAUGGUUUCAUGAAUACUCAGUAUAUCCACUGUCUGUUCAGUUUAAUCAUAGUAGCUGACCUUAACAUAUGUGUAUCAGGUAGUGUCCCAGUUGCUUAUUUAAUAUUAAAUCAUUUAGUUCUCACAGCAACCCUAUGAGAGAAUAGCUAAGGGUUGUUUGUUUGUUUUUAAUAGGUGAGGAAACUGAGGCAAAGACAUAGAAGCCCUAAGUCACAGAUACAACUGUGGCAAUUCUGUGUCUGCAGUCUUAUUCACUACAUUAUGAUUUAACUCCUAGGUAGCCAUACUACGUAAUUAAAUAAAAAUGCAACCAAACUACUAAUCAAUUGGAGAGUGAAGGUGAGGAAAGGAAAAUUUUUUUAAAAAACUAGUUUAAAAAAAGUUUCAGUUUUUGGUAUGCUACAUAAAGUAAGAAUUUCAUAGAUCUUUCCCACACCCUGAACAAUUCACAGGAUCCUCUGCUACUGUUAUGUAGCUUGACUGCAGUGCCUGCAGCUAUUAAUUAAAUAUAAAAUCUACAAGUUGUAUUUUGUAAUUUGUCACAUUUACACAAAUUUCAAUCCUCUAGAAAAUGGUUAAAACUGCUUACAUAGUACAGAUUCCAUUUCAGUCUGGCGUGUGUGUGUAUGUGUGUCUGUCUGUCUGUCUGUGUGUGCACCAUCUUUGAAAGGUAAUGUUUCAAGAAGUGACAUCUAAUGUAAGUGUCCCCAGUGUUCAUCAUACCUGCAGGUUAAUCUUUCUUUAAUGCCUUAGGUACUCACAGGCAAUGAGGCGGGAUAAAUAUAUCAAUCCUAGCACAUCUGAAGUAACAGGCCGGGGAAGUCUGUGCUCAGUGGUGCAAGGUGUCAGGAAAGAAGCUAAGCCGAACGGAAUGUGUGCCCCUGAAUUUGGGCAGCUGGCCAAUGUUUAACAGCACCAGAGAAGUGCAAUUUUAUUUUAAUCAUCCAUUCUUAUGUCAAAGCCAAGAGCAUUUCCACCAGGUUCUACUUCCCCAUCAGUUACAAUAAUAUGCACUCCAGAGGUCUCAAUGCAGGGAGCUUGAAUUUGCAUAUUAGUAGAGCAGCAAAAUAUAUUUAUUCCUUUCAUCUCUGGAAGGUGGGUCAGAGAGAUAAUCAUGGAAGCGAGGACUAGUUGUUUCUAAGCUUUUCAAUUCUAAAACACCAGCCUAGGCAGAUAACAUUUGAAUCAUGUCAAAAUACAGCAAAACAAUGCAGUAUUUUGGAGUCAGCAGCUUAGAUGAGUAGACAAAUUAUAGAGGUAUUUUUUAAGUUGACAUUUGGAUCCAUCCUACACUCUGAAGAUAGGAACCCAUAGAUUUGCCACAUAUUCAAAUGAAAAAAUUAACAAUAGCAGCAUAUUAAGUAAAAACAGAACCCGAAACUACCAGAUCUACUGUUUUGAUGGGACUAAUUGAUCGAGGCUAUUCACAACCCCUUGAGGUUUGUUUUUUAUUUUUUAUUUUUUUUCCAAUGAAUUGUCUGGAUUAAAUGUUAUUUUUACUUUGUAAAUACACAGCUAUUAUUAGGGAUGACAAAAAACAACUCCAUCUACAACAUAUAAAAUCAUCAAGGGAGGAUUCAGGCUCAGUGGGUUAAGGAUCUGGUAUUAUCACUGCAGGGGCUCAGGUUGCCGCUGUGG